rnacentral:lncRNA from 1 species
UUUGCUAAAAGGCAUUUAAUGAGCUAUAAAAAAAACUUAUCUACCCUUAUUAAAGGUGCGCAGGAGGGGGGAGACAAGCAAUAAAUGAAAGGUAUAGGUUGUCCAGCCCACCUUUUAGCAAGUUUUAGCAACCAAAAACUUGCUAAAGUGCUAAACUUUAGCAACUCAACUUUAGCAAGUUUUAGCAAGGGUGUUUGGCAGUUUAGCAGCUAAAAGUUGCCACCCCUGCCGGUUACCUUACACCUUCCAUGCAUGUGGAUGCAAUACUACACCGGGGCACGUAUGAACAAUUAUCAAUAAUUCAG